rnacentral:rRNA from 1 species
ACCUACGGGACGCAGCAGUGGGGAAUAUUGCACAAUGGGGGGAACCCUGAUGCAGCGACGCCGCGUGAAGGAAGAAGUAUUUCGGUAUGUAAACUUCUAUCAGCAGGGAAGAAAAUGACGGUACCUGACUAAGAAGCCCCGGCUAACUACGUGCCAGCAGCCGCGGUAAUACGUAGGGGGCAAGCGUUAUCCGGAUUUACUGGGUGUAAAGGGAGCGUAGGCGGCGAUGCAAGUCAGAAGUGAAAUCUGGGGGCUUAACCCCCAAACUGCUUUUGAAACUGUGGGUCUUGAGUGAUGG